AAAUUGAAGAGUUUGAUCAUGGCUCAGAUUGAACGCUGGCGGCAGGCCUAACACAUGCAAGUCGAGCGGCAGCGGGAAAGUAGCUUGCUACUUUUGCCGGCGAGCGGCGGACGGGUGAGUAAUGCCUGGGGAUCUGCCCAGUCGAGGGGGAUAACAGUUGGAAACGACUGCUAAUACCGCAUACGCCCUACGGGGGAAAGGAGGGGACCUUCGGGCCUUUCGCGAUUGGAUGAACCCAGGUGGGAUUAGCUAGUUGGUGGGGUAAUGGCUCACCAAGGCGACGAUCCCUAGCUGGUCUGAGAGGAUGAUCAGCCACACUGGAACUGAGACACGGUCCAGACUCCUACGGGAGGCAGCAGUGGGGAAUAUUGCACAAUGGGGGAAACCCUGAUGCAGCCAUGCCGCGUGUGUGAAGAAGGCCUCGG
rnacentral:rRNA from 1 species